AGAGUAGACGCAGGCGGUUGCAGAUCAGUCAUAGUCACUGAUUUGAGGAAAGUCCGGGCUCCCGAAAGACCAAACUUGCUGGAUAACGUCCAGUGCGAGCGAUCGUGAGGAUAGUGCCACAGAAAGAUACCGCCAGAUCAAUUAAAAAUUAAAAAUUAAAAAUGUAAAAUGAGCAAUCAAUUUUUAAUUUUUAGUUUUACAUUUUUAAUUGCUCUGGUAAGGGUGCAAAGGUGCGGUAAGAGCGCACCAGCAGUAUCGAGAGGUGCUGGCUCGGUAAACCCCAGUUGGGAGCAAGGCGAUAGGAACUACGGUUGGUCUUUUACCAGUUCCGCUCAACGAGAGCCGCUAGAGGCGUUUGGUAACAAGCGUCCCAGAUAGAUAACUGCCCUCGCAAGAGAACAGAACCCGGCUUAUGUACUGCUCUUUCC
rnacentral:RNase_P_RNA from 1 species